GCGCCCGUAGCUCAAUGGAUAGAGCAGCAGCCUUCUAAGCUGUUGGUUGAGGGUUCGAUUCCUUCCGGGCGCGCCA
rnacentral:tRNA from 1 species